rnacentral:rRNA from 1 species
GAUGAACGCUGGCGGCGUGCCUAAUACAUGCAAGUCGAGCGAACAGACGAGGAGCUUGCUCCUCUGACGUUAGUGGCGGACGGGUGAGUAACACGUGGAUAACCUACCUAUAAGACUGGGAUAACUUCGGGAAACCGGAGCUAAUACCGGAUAACAUGUUGAACCGCAUGGUUCAACAGUGAAAGACGGUCUUGCUGUCACUUAUAGAUGGAUCCGCGCCGCAUUAGCUAGUUGGUAAGGUAACGGCUUACCAAGGCAACGAUGCGUAGCCGACCUGAGAGGGUGAUCGGCCACACUGGAACUGAGACACGGUCCAGACUCCUACGGGAGGCAGCAGUAGGGAAUCUUCCGCAAUGGGCGAAAGCCUGACGGAGCAACGCCGCGUGAGUGAAGAAGGUCUUCGGAUCGUAAAACUCUGUUAUUAGGGAAGAACGAAUGUGUAAGUAACUAUGCACGUCUUGACGGUACCUAAUCAGAAAGCCACGGCUAACUACGUG